GAUGAAGAACGCAGUGAAAUGCGAUAAGUAAUGUGAAUUGCAGAAUUCAGUGAAUCAUCGAAUUUUUGAACGCACCUUGCGCCCUUUGGCUAUUCCGAAGGGCAUGCCUGUUUGAGUAUCAUGAACACCUCAACUCUUCACGGCUUGCCGUGAUGAGUUUGGACUUUGGGGGUCUUGCUGGCCUACGAGCCAGCUCCUCUCAAAUGUAUUAGCUUGCCGGUGUUUGGUGGCAUCACAGGUGUGAUAACUAUCUACGCUUGUGGUUUUCCACUAGGUAACCUUCAGCAAUGGAGGUUCACCGGAGCUCACAAAUGUCUCUCCUUGCCAAGGACAGAUUUUGACCAUUUGAUCUCAAAUCAGGUAGGACUACCCGCUGAACUUAAGCAUAUCAAUAAGCGGAGGA
rnacentral:misc_RNA from 1 species